rnacentral:lncRNA from 1 species
ACCACCCGAUCAAGAACCAAAAUUAAAGCCGCUGAUCCCACCAAUUCCCGGCCCGUUUUGAAACUCAAACUCUCCACCAAGCACUUAAAACCCAUCACAGAACCGGACCCAAAACCUCCCAUAAUAGAUUCAUUUCGAAGCCAUCCCCAGAUCCCUCCACCAAACUUCUCCAAUUUACCUUUUCAAAUCCAUACUUCAACACACCACCAAAAUUACCAUAAUGCCUCUGAUACUCUUUUACCCGGCAGCCAUUGCUUGUCGAAAUUCGCAUCUUUUUCCAAUAAAGGCCAGAAUAAAAAUCUCAUUUUUGAGCCCAGUGAAAAGGAUUUUCCAACUGAAACUAAAAGUGAAAUUCAUGUGCAAAAUGCUGACCUGGUAAAAGUGAAAAAUGAAGCUGCUAGCCAACGAAUUUCUUCCAAAAAGGUGAGUAAACAUCUUAAUUUGAUUGGUGUUAAUGUUUCUUCCACAAAGAAUGUGAACAAGCCUAAACGUGUUAGUGAGGGUAAUUUUGUGAAGCUUAAUAUAAAUGGCUAUGGGAGGAAAAAGUUUGCCUUUAAGAAUAAAAGAAAGAGCUUUAGUGCAUAUAGUGGGCGUAGAAAAUUUUCAAGAUAUUAUAAAAAGAAAUCGAGAGUUGGAAAUGAAGGAAAGGAAAGUGGUGAGAUUCUCGAUGAAGAGGGCUUGGUUUUGGAGAUUGGAGAGAGAGAGGAAAGUAUGGAUUUUGAUAGUGAAUCGAUUGAGGAGGCUGUGAUGAGUGUACGAAAAGAGGCCUCCGAUGGAAAUUUGGAGAAGUUAUUAAAGUUCACACAUGGGUAUGAUUCAUUUAGGAAUGGUCAGUUGGAGGCAAUCAAGAUGGUGCUCUCUGGGAAAUCGACAAUGCUGGUUUUACCAACGGGUUCUGGCAAGUCUCUGUGUUAUCAGUUGCCUGCGUUGAUUUUGCCAGGAGUCACCCUUGUGGUGAGUCCUUUAGUGGCUUUGAUGAUCGAUCAACUUAAACAGCUGCCUCCUGCAAUUCCGGGUGGCCUUUUGUGUAGCAGCCAGGUAUUUUCUUUCUCAGUGUUGGUGAAUAC